rnacentral:rRNA from 1 species
GACGAACGCUGGCGGCGUGCUUAACACAUGCAAGUCGAGCGGAAAGGCCCUUCGGGGUACUCGAGCGGCGAACGGGUGAGUCACACGUGAGUAACCUGCCCCAGACUUUGGGAUAACCCUCGGAAACGGGGGCUAAUACCGGAUACGACACAGCUUCGCAUGGGGUCUGUGUGGAAAGUUUUUCGGUUUGGGAUGGGCUCGCGGCCUAUCAGCUUGUUGGUGGGGUGAUGGCCUACCAAGGCGACGACGGGUAGCCGGCCUGAGAGGGCGACCGGCCACACUGGGACUGAGACACGGCCCAGACUCCUACGGGAGGCAGCAGUGGGGAAUAUUGCACAAUGGGCGGAAGCCUGAUGCAGCGACGCCGCGUGAGGGAUGACGGCCUUCGGGUUGUAAACCUCUUUCAGCAGGGACGAAGCGUAAGUGACGGUACCUGCAGAAGAAGCGCCGGCCAACUACGUG